GCCGGACAUAAAAAGCAGACGCACCGACUUCCUCUUCCACUUCUUCCUGGCGUCUGACCGAGAUGGCAGAAGACUCUAAAGAUUCUUCCUGCAAAGGUGUGAAGGGAAUGAGGAGACUCCCUACAUGAGAUGCUCAAAGCUCUUUGAAGAUGAAGAACAAGAAUAAAAGACUAGUGCAGGUUGGGCGUCUGUGUCCGUUCACUACGUCUUGAAGCAGCUUGAAAAUGCACUGAGGUUGGAGGUUGAUGUAAAAUGUCAGGAGGGAGCGACGCCUCGUUCACAAUGCCUGCUGACAGGAUGCAUGAUGGAGGAUUCAAUCACACACAAUUCUCACGGUGAUUCCUCGACUGCUUCAGCAUCGUGACCGAGGUGUUCCAGUUGAAGGUAGCAGGUUUUCGACAGUUGAGAUGCUGCCGUCUUCCUACAAAUGCAGGAACUUGUCCAGGUUGAAACGCUGCUGAAGGAAGGGGACGAGGUUCUGCAGAGUUGAGGUUUAAUCUCUGCCCUCAAGAUUCAAACGGCCACUUGGACUGUGCUACAGUGAAGGUGCUGCUAAUCACCGCCCACUUGAAGACAAACCAAAGUUUGAAGGCAUCACACUGAUCUCGGGCCAUGUUUUGACUGGGGGAGAAGUUGCGCCGUAACGAAGAUCCAUCAACCAUGUUUUACUGGCAGCAUAGUGAAAAUUUGAAAUAAAUAACUUUUACAGUCA